GUCUGUCCCACAAUGUCAGCACUUUAUGAUUGGCUGCCAGGAGCUUUUUUUUUAAUUAGGCUACAUCAAGAAUUUAAAGAGGCAGCAGGUUUUGAGACCCUUUCAUCCGAGAGAUGAACCAGGGUGAGAGAAACUUCUAUCUAUAACUGUAGAUUAACUUUUUACAAACUUACAGGUUAUGAUUUACUGUGUGAGUAUGAAGUUUACUGUCUUUACUUUACCUUCAAACUUCACAGAUUUACUCAAAGGCUCGACCUGGUGGUGAAAGGUGAGUUAAACACUCAAAUACUAACAGUUAAGUGUUUAUUGCUGUCUGGAAACACCAUUUGGAAUAAAAACACCACCUACAGAAGUUUAGUUUUACUGACAUCUAUGAGGGAAAAAAUGACAACAAUGAUCAUUAUUAUUAUAAAUGGAUGUUUCCUCUCCCUAAAAGUUUAAAUACAACAGACUUGUAUGUUUCUACCUUUUUUAUUUUCCAAAUACUUUUCAGAUGGUGGCUGUCGAAGGAAAACACCUGUGCAUGUAGGUAAAUACUGAGUGGUCUGCUCCUCCCACCAACCAACAUCCAGAGAAAACUGGUUCAGCAGCUUGUUUAUCAGCAGCUGUGAAUGUUGAAGAAACCUCAAAUUAACCAGAGAGGAGCUGCGACACAGAGCGGAGGGUAAUUUUUGUGUCUCUUCUUUGAAUGCAUUGAUUGAUCUUCUGGAUUUCAUUGUUAUUGAUUAAAAAAAACACCUUGACAUUAAUUUCUUUAUGGUUUUCUGCAGCCAUGGAAACUGUUACCUGUUGUUCAUCCUGCUGAAAAGUUGAUUUUCUGGUAUCUCGCUGGAAUGGGAGGUCAAGAAUCAAGAUGCUGGUCUUCAGUCUGUCCACAUAGACAGAAAAAGACCAUAAUCGAUAAACAUGAAGGAGAGACAGACGGCUUUUUAAAGAUGAGAAACUCCAACGGUUCUCUGAGGUCAGAGGACGCACCAGCCGAUUCACUUUCAUCAGAUUUACCUCCAGUCAGCGAACCGAUCCAGGAUCUUGCCCAGAGGAUGUCAGAGGAGAUCAUCAGUCAGGCUCUGCAGGUCUGUUGGGAGAUGAACAUUCAUUACAGAGACUUGCCUUUUAUUGACACUGAGAGUGAAUAUGUUAUAUAGUUCUACCUGAAGGAAGAAAAAAUACACAUGGAAUAUUUUCUCAACCGAUUCUUUAAGUUUUUUGAGCUUAAAAAAUCAGUUCCUGCUGCCAGUCUGUACGAUUAACCAUCAACCAAAUGUGGUGAAAUGAGUUUACACACAAAGAAAUUGAAUACUAAUAAUCCAGUGCUAUAAAGAACGGAUGGUGGUUUUGGAUUUCUUCACUUAUUCUAGAGGACAUAAAAAAUAGAAACAUGUUCGGGGGAAUUUUUUGAGUCAGAAAUUUCACCUUAAACACAAACAAAUGGUUCAUUGAUUCUCAGUGAGAACCUCCAACACUGAUAAUUUUCUGUUUAAGUGAGAAAAUAACACGUGUCAGACACCUGCUCGACAGGGCGACCUUGUCAUUCGACAUGUUUACUGUGUAAGUUUCAUCAGUCCUGUGUACAUGAAAACAUAACCACAGGAAAGUCAGAGUUUAGUCAGUGUUUACCUGCUUAGACUCUCGUGUUUUGGCAGCAAAAGAGGAAAAGAGUUGAGCUACAGAGCAGGAACAUGCAAGAAUACAGCUUUAAGAAAGACACUUCAGAAUCUUAAUGCAGCCCUCACAAACUAACAAAGACAGUGGAUGUGAUGGGUACACUUGAGCCUCUGGUACAACAACAAUAAUAAUAAUAAUAAUAAUAAAAAUAACAAAAGUUACAUCAGUGCAGGAAUACAUCAAACAUAAAACACAUAUUUAUAGUUUGUGUGUUCAACUAGGGGGGACCGGGUUUGUUGUGAGCUGAGAUGAGCACCAAUAAACCAUUUCGCUCAACCUAAAGUAAAAAAAAAAAACUUCAUAUAUUUUAAAAUAAGCUUCUUCCAGAUAAAAAUCCUUGCAGUGAUACAUGUGGACAUUAUCCAAUGUAGUGAGACAACUUACCCGAUGGUGGCGCAACAUGUCACAUGUUCACACUCACGUUUUAAUUGCUUAUAACUCUGCACUGACACGAGAUAUGGAAAUGACAUGAUUAUGAAAUUUAUACCUGAGACUUUGGUCUUUAAUCUUUUACAAAUUCUGUUUAUAUUUGAUGUAUUGGUUUAGAGAAAUACACAAGAGUGUAAAAGUGUGACAACAAGCCCCGGUCUCCCCUACUAGAGAGCCUCCUCCUGCUGUGUAACUCACACAGCUCACCGUUAGAGGUCGCUGUGGUGUCGUGAUGAACCGACGUAACCAUGGAGAGGUGGUUAACAGGCGAUGAUGUCAGGGGUCUGUUGGAGAAAAAGCUGCUCACAGGAAAGGUUGGAGACAGUGGUCCGGAUAAGGAGCAGCUGAAGUCGAUAAAAAUUUAAUUAAUAAUCAAUUAAAGCCCGGGUAUCAACACCUGCUGGAGCCACGCGCCAAAAACGACGACUUCUUCUUCUUCUUCUUCCCUGUGAGGUUUGUCACCGUUUAAACAGGUAAACCCUUUUUUAUAAGCUAUUCAAAGUAACUUUAGAAAUUAAUUAGUAAUCUAUUUUACAAGAAAAUGUUUACUUAAUAGACAUGUUUGGGUUAUUUGAGCCUUUAGGGCGCCGCAUAAUCUCGUUUAUGGCAAUAAAACAGUUGCUAAUUGUGUUAUUUCAGAUUCACUUUGUGUUGUUAUCGCACCUGAAAGUCCAGCAAACCUCAAACAAUAAAUUUCAUUAUUCUUCAUAAAGUGAAUUUUCAGGGAAUAUGUUAAACUUCAUCAAACAGUAAUAAGAUAAAAAUGAUUCACAAGACAUUUUCAAACAUUUAAGUAAUUUAUUUUUACAUUCAGUUGAUUAACAAAGACAUAAACUAUAUAAUGAAUUGACUGUACAUCGUGUUUAAACUGUGUAAUGACCCAAAGUGC
rnacentral:lncRNA from 1 species